rnacentral:lncRNA from 1 species
CGCCCCGACUAUAAAAAGUCGGUCCCGCCUCUCGUUUCGAAUUCGUGACGGGUUGAAAAUAGUUAUUCCAUAAUCCGUCCCGCCUUAUAACCUGCCUCCCGCCGGCGCCCCGAAUCCGCCCCGCCAAAUAGUAUUUAUUUUAUAAAUUAUAAUAUUAUUAAUAUUUUAUAAAUUCAAAUCAAUAAAAUUUUUAAUAUUAAUUGAUAAUAUUAUCAAGUUAUAUAUAAUUAAUAAUAUCAACUAUAAAAAUAAAAAAUAUUAAUCACAACUCGCAACAAAAUUCAAAAAUUUUAAAUACAUACAUAUGGAAAAAUUUUAAAGACAUACAUUCGGGGUAGAUUCGGGACAGAUCAUGACGGGACGGAUUCGGGGCGGAUUCGAGGCGGAUCAAAAAUUUUUCCGUUUCCUGCCCCGAAUCCGCCACGGAUAAUAAAAAUUGCCCCGCCCCGAAUCCGUUUAUUUCCUUUCGUUUACUGCCCCAUUCGGGGCGAAUCGGGGCGGGAGCUCCACCACCCCGGAU